rnacentral:rRNA from 1 species
CAGUAGCCGCGGUAAUACGUAGGUGGCAAGCGUUGUCCGGAAUUAUUGGGCGUAAAGGGCUCGCAGGCGGUUUCUUAAGUCUGAUGUGAAAGCCCCCGGCUCAACCGGGGAGGGUCAUUGGAAACUGGGAAACUUGAGUGCAGAAGAGGAGAGUGGAAUUCCACGUGUAGCGGUGAAAUGCGUAGAGAUGUGGAGGAACACCAGUGGCGAAGGCGACUCUCUGGUCUGUAACUGACGCUGAGGAGCGAAAGCGUGGGGAGCGAACGGGAUUAGAGACCCGAGUAGUCCCUGUCUCUUAUAC